rnacentral:rRNA from 1 species
CUGUACAGUUCAGAGUUUGAUCCUGGCUCAGGAUGAACGCUGGCGGCGUGCCUAACACAUGCAAGUCGAGCGAUUCUCUUCGGAGAAGAGCGGCGGACGGGUGAGUAACGCGUGGGUAACCUGCCCUGUACACACGGAUAACAUACCGAAAGGUAUGCUAAUACGAGAUAAUAUACUUUUAUCGCAUGGUAGAAGUAUCAAAGCUCCGGCGGUACAGGAUGGACCCGCGUCUGAUUAGCUAGUUGGUAAGGUAACGGCUUACCAAGGCGACGAUCAGUAGCCGACCUGAGAGGGUGAUCGGCCACAUUGGAACUGAGACACGGUCCAA